rnacentral:rRNA from 1 species
UACAUGCAAGUCGAGCGAANNNAUUAAGAGCUUGCUCUUUUGANGUUAGCGGCGGACGGGUGAGUAACACGUGGGCAACCUNCCCUUUAGANUGGGAUAACUCCGGGAAACCGGGGCUAAUACCGAAUAAUCUUUUUAACCUCAUGGUGNAANAUUGAAAGANGGCUUCGGCUGUCACUUUUGGAUGGGCCCGCGGCGCAUUAGCUAGUUGGUGAGGUAACGGCUCACCAAGGCNACGAUGCGUAGCCGACCUGANAGGGUGAUCGGCCACACUGGGACUGAGACACGGCCCAGACUCCUACGGGAGGCAGCAGUAGGGAAUCUUCCACAAUGGGCGAAAGCCUGAUGGAGCAACGCCGCGUGAGUGAAGAAGGAUUUCNGUUCGUAAAACUCUGUUGUAAGGGAAGAACAAGUACAGUAUUAACUGGCUGUACCUUGACNGNACCUUAUUANAAAGCC